rnacentral:sRNA from 1 species
AUUGCUCUUGUAUAUACUGAACAUAAUC